ACGAGUUUGAUCAUGGCUCAGGAUGAACGCUAGCGGGAGGCUUAAUACAUGCAAGUCGAGGGGUAACAGGGGCUUCGGCCCGCUGACGACCGGCGCACGGGUGAGUAACGCGUACGCAACUUACCUCCAAGCGAGGGAUAGCCCUGGGAAACUGGGAUUAAUACCUCAUGUGAUUAUGAUGCCGCAUGGUGUUAUAAUUAAAGUUCAGGCGCUUGGAGAUGGGUGUGCGUCCUAUUAGCUAGUUGGUGAGGUAACGGCUCACCAAGGCGACGAUAGGUAGGGGGCGUGAGAGCGUGGCCCCCCACACGGGUACUGAGACACGGACCCGACUCCUACGGGAGGCAGCAGUAAGGAAUAUUGGACAAUGGGCGCAAGCCUGAUCCAGCCAUCCCGCGUGCAGGAUGACAGCCCUACGGGUUGUAAACUGCUUUUGUUAGGGAAGAAACCCCUCGAUUUAUCGGGGGCUGACGGUACCUUUCGAAUAAGCACCGGCUAACUCCGUG
rnacentral:rRNA from 1 species